CAUAGCGACUAUCGUGGCAUAUCAAUAAGCGGAGGAAAAGAAACUAACAAGGAUUCCCCUAGUAACGGCGAGUGAAGCGGGAAGAGCUCAAAUUUGAAAUCUUAAAGGGUUUCCCUUUACGAAUUGUAGUUUAAAGAAGUGUUUUCUGUUGGAGUUUCGGUAAAAGUUCUUUGGAAUAGGACAUCAUAGAGGGUGAGAAUCCCGUAUUUGACCGUUACUUUCCAGCUGUGUGAUACACUUUCAAAGAGUCGGAUUGUUUGGGAAUGCAGUCCAAAAUGGGUGGUAAAUUUCAUCUAAAGCUAAAUAUUGGCGAGAGACCGAUAGCGAACAAGUACCGUGAGGGAAAGAUGAAAAGAACUUUGAAAAGAGAGUUAAACAGUACGUGAAAUUGUCAAAAGGGAAGCGUUUGACACCAGUGUUGUUUAGUUGAAAAUCAAUUAAAUAUUUUUCGAUUUUAAGUAGUAUUGACCUUAUCAGCUUGCUGCUUUUUUCUCGGAAAUUAUUUAAUGCACUUUUCAGUUAACAAGUCAACAUCAAUUUCUUUUGUUGUAAAAAGGUAAGAGGAAGGUGGCUUGCGCUUCGGCUCAAGUGUUUAUAGCCUUUUACCCCUGCAAUCGGAGAGAUUGAGGUCUGCAGCGUAGAUCCUUCGGGGUUAGAUACAUUUGUGCUAAGCUAUAGCCUUGUAUAGACAACUUGUUGACUAUGCUCAGUCAUGUAGCUUACUCGCUUAUGCUAUUUUACCUACGCUUAGGAUGUUGAUAGUCACAGCGUGUAC
rnacentral:rRNA from 1 species